CGCAACUGGGGGUGGGCCCGCGGGUCCCAGUACCUGGUCCAGGAGGCAGCAUCUCCCUCCCGUCCGGGAUAAGACGCCCCCUCCGCGGGUCCCCUGUCCCUUGCCCACUCUGGAGAGGCAGCCCCCACUUGGAGGGACCAGGACCCGAGCCCUGCCCAUCCCCGAAUCCUGGGAGCCCUGCGUGGGGAGCGUCGAGGGCCUGGGUCGGGGGGCAAACUAGUGUGGAGCAAUGAAUCCGGGAAACCCGGCUGCCCACUAAUUACCCAGUAGCUAUGGAGGUCCCCCGAAGGACAGACCUGUGCCCUUGAGGCAGGGCCCUGAAGGAGGGUUGCAGGGAAUCUGUCUUUAAGCAACGUGCCCUGUGGAUGUUAGCUACAGGAUUGGGCCAUUUUUCAUGAUGCAAAGAUGUCUGAUCCUGGGAAUGGACAGCCACAUCAUUUGGGGAACACUACCCAGGCAGCAACAGCUCCCUGGCAGGGAGGACUAUGAUCACCAUCGAUUGAGCACCAAUUGUAUACCAGAUGUUGGACGACUCUCAGCCUAAAGAACUUCUUUGCUUUUCAGUAAGGUGGAAAGAAUUUUAGGUGUUUUUCAAAAAGGAAUAGAAACCAGUAUUGAGCAUGAGGCUGGCCUCUAAAAGGUACUGGAAUAUUCAUUGAACUCAUGUGUCAAUAUCACCCCUGUCUCCUACAGUGUCUCUGGGCUCCUCUGUGGGGCACACAAAGUCAUCCGUGAUUGAUCUGUGCUCCUCAGUCCUGGCUCUACGCUUUUUGACCCAGCAGUACUAAGCUGCCGCAGGUCCUGGCCACAUCCAGUCACUUCCAGACCUUUGCUCAUUUGUCCCCUUUGAAACGCCCUUCCCCUGCUCCCUGCACUUCACCUUUACCUAGCUUACUCCUGCUUAAUCAUGUGCACCUCAGAGACUUCUCCAACACCCCUAGGCCCAGCUGGGUGCCUGUCUUGUACGAUUCCCGUAAUAUUAAGUACAAUCACAUAAUAUUCCAUGAACUCUGCAAUUCUGUUUCCCGAUUGCAUCGUACUAUAAUUAUGUUUACUUGAUAGUUUUCCCCAAUAAAUUGUGAAGUAUGUGAAAACAA